AGUCUGGACGUCUUUUUGUCAGAUUUAUGUCGCGAAUCUGAGUGACUAAUGAUGUCUUUGCUCCUUUUUCUUUGUAUUUUGGGCAUCAACAAGUCGGAAGGAAAAAUACGAGAGGGUUCCAUCAACAAUUACAAGAAUACUGUUUUCCUGGAGUCAUUUGCAUAUGGAACUGACAAUGUUAACCUCCUGCAAUUCAAGUUUUUCUUCCCUUCUAAUCUUCAUGGCUAUGAGAUAGCAAUGUUUGAUGACUCUGUCAAUCAAUGGCCUUUUGUCA